GGUCUGUCGUAUGCAAGUCACACAGUUGGUUUCACACCACCAACUUCACUGACUAGAGCUGGAAUGUCUUAUUACAAUUCCCCAGGCCUUCAUGUGCAACAUAUGGGACCAUCCCAUGGCAUUACAAGGCCUUCACCACGAAGAAGUAACAGCCCUGACAAAUUUAAACGUCCCACUCCUCCUCCUUCUCCAAACACGCAGACCCCAGUGCAGCCACCUCCGCCACCACCUCCACCACCUGUGCAGCCUACGGUCCAAUCCGCAGCAUCGCAGUCAGCCACUUUUCAACAUUCAGUGCAUCCCUCCUCUCAGCCUUAGUGCAUGUGCUCAGCAGUCUGUAUGUCAGAAGUGGACUCAUAACAUGGAGCAGUUUACUAAAAGCCAAAGGCUUAUUUGGCAUAUUUGGAUUUGACUUAUUUGCACUGAGGUUAUAUAGGCUUCACUGUUAAUUGUGUUGUAAACGUUUGUAUAAAAUGCAGCCAGUGUUGUGGGUCUACAACACUAACUUAACAAAGUUUUCCAUCAGUGUUUACUUGAACUACGUGUAUGUCCAUUCUCUGGCUGGAACAUUUGCUACUCUGUUUGGUAAUACGGCAUUACGUCGUUUUGCUUGGCUCCAAAGCUUCAUUUUCCUGGCUUUUAGGUUUGUAAAAUUUAAAGGGAUACCUUUUUAUAUUUUUUCAUGACAAUUUGCAGAAAAUUAAAGGCAUGAUGGGCUAUAUGAUAAAUUCUGAAAUAUUACAGUGUUUACCAAGCUUAUGGAAAAUCAGCACUAUGUUUCAGUCAUUUGAAAUACCAGCUUCUAGUGCAAAGUGAGUCAGACACCCUAAUUAGUGCCCAAGACACAUUCUCUAUGGUAUUACGUAGUAAAUAAGCUUAAUUCAGCACAGAGGACACAUCCAUACUUCUCCUGUUUAAAAGCACCUCAAACAUAUGGUACAGUCUGAAUUUUACAGUGAGGUGACUAGCUUGUUGGAGUCUGUGGAAUGUACCGUUCAUGGACCUUAAGAACUGAUGAUUUCACUUGACAUUUGUUAACCUGUAAGCUGCCCAUACUGUGUGAGCUGUCAGAAUUAAUGUUGGUAAGUGUGGUCCUGCCCACAGGUUACUGAUGGCUGGUUAAAGUGUGCUCUUUGAAUUUUUUGCUGCAAAAGGCAAUGUGAUUGUAGAGAACAGCUGAUAAUAAUUUUUUUUCUUGUUAAAAUACAUUAGUUGUUGAAUCCCCUGAAGCAAAGUUUGAACAGGUAUUCUAAAUGUUCUAAAGUCUGUUAGAAAAUAAGUUUCAAGAUGAGUAUUGGCCUAACAGCCAAAAUAUUGUAUUGCUUGGUAGAAACAGAGUACAAGAAAGUAGCACAACAUGGCACUAAUGAAUGCUUAUUUAGCAGCCUAAGCCGGUACAAUGUAUAAAGAAAUGUAUUCUGAAUACAUUCUUUCCAUUCAUUUAGCACAAAUAAAUUGGUUUCACUUUGCAGUGGAACAAA